GACGAACGCUGGCGGCGUGCUUAACACAUGCAAGUCGAACGGAAAGGCCCUGCUUUUGUGGGGUGCUCGAGUGGCGAACGGGUGAGUAACACGUGAGUAACCUGCCCUUGACUUUGGGAUAACUUCAGGAAACUGGGGCUAAUACCAGAUAGGAGCUCCUGCUGCAUGGUGGGGGUUGGAAAGUUUCGGCGGUUGGGGAUGGACUCGCGGCUUAUCAGCUUGUUGGUGGGGUAGUGGCUUACCAAGGCUUUGACGGGUAGCCGGCCUGAGAGGGUGACCGGCCACAUUGGGACUGAGAUACGGCCCAGACUCCUACGGGAGGCAGCAGUGGGGAAUAUUGCACAAUGGGCGGAAGCCUGAUGCAGCAACGCCGCGUGCGGGAUGACGGCCUUCGGGUUGUAAACCGCUUUCGCCUGUGACGAAGCGUGAGUGACGGUAAUGGGUAAAGAAGCACCGGCUAACUACGUG
rnacentral:rRNA from 1 species